GCUUCCUUGAAUGAGACACUCAUACGUGGUCAGAUAAGAUAAGGCUGCCUCUUAGAGAUUCAUAAACUACAUUAGUGACUUAAAGGCUCUGAUAAGUCCUGCAGUGAGAAGACCUGUUUAUAAUUUUGUUUUUAUUGGUACCAUACAAGAUCUUGAACUCUCCUGCUGUUUCUAGAUGCCUAGUCUCCCAAUGACCCCAUUUUACAGACGUGGAAAUUGAGACUGCAUGACUCACCCAAAGCCUCUGGAUUAGUAAGAUACUUAGCUGAGAUCUCAACAUGGGCUGCCAGACCCCACCUGUUAUGAAGCACCUACAAAAGAGGGUGGUGAAAAGCACU
rnacentral:antisense_RNA from 1 species